CUGGAUUGAUUCCCAAUCAGUCUUGGAGCUGGUUUUGGGCGAAGGCUCAUCCCAGCCCUGAGCCUUGGCAGUUCUCUGGCCUCAAAGGGAGAGCUGAGGCUGCACUGCACAUGACUGGGGUUCAGGGCUCCAUUAUCAAAGAGCUUUGAGAUAUAUAAAUUACUGUAUUCUUACUACAUGGUUUUUGUUAUGAAAUUCAUUCAUUAGUUUUUAAAACUUAAUUGUAAUAAAACUUCUUUUCCAGUGCUUUUUCCAGUUAUUUGAUAUAGUCAGUGAUGGCCUAGGUAUCCCAUGGUUAAAUUAAAAGACUACGUCGUUGAAAACCUGUACGAUGCCAUUAAAGAAGCUGGAAAGAAGCUCCUGGAAAAGAGAGCAAUACAUCUGCUCCCACCCUCUGGACAGGACCUUCUGAUUUCUUCCUGCGAGCAGGCACUCAUGAAUGUCAGUCAGGGAGGAAUUUGCUGCAGUUCCAGCAUUUGGCAUCUUAAAAGCGUCUGUUAUUUAAUGUCCUGACUAAAUGUAACUGUAUAAAAUAAAAUUUCUUUCUAAUCAAAA